AAGUUUUUCUAUUUCGACUUUAUAGUGUGUGUAUACACGUUAUACAAACAAACAAUGACGGUUACUUUUUCAUCUGUAUUUUUCGUUGAAAACAAUACAAUAUAGGCAAUGACCAUAGUUUAGUCUACUUGUAACAAAGUAGGAUGAUGGCGUCAGAAGAGCCAGAGGGGAAGGUCAACGGGUGCCCAGUUUGCAGACUUACUGAGCCAG
rnacentral:lncRNA from 1 species